rnacentral:rRNA from 1 species
GAUGAACGCUGGCGGCGUGCCUAAUACAUGCAAGUCGAGCGAACAGACGAGGAGCUUGCUCCUCUGACGUUAGCGGCGGACGGGUGAGUAACACGUGGAUAACCUACCUAUAAGACUGGGAUAACUUCGGGAAACCGGAGCUAAUACCGGAUAAUAUAUUGAACCGCAUGGUUCAAUAGUGAAAGACGGUUUUGCUGUCACUUAUAGAUGGAUCCGCGCCGCAUUAGCUAGUUGGUAAGGUAACGGCUUACCAAGGCAACGAUGCGUAGCCGACCUGAGAGGGUGAUCGGCCACACGGGAACGGAGACACGGUCCAGACUCCUACGGGAGGCAGCAGUAGGGAAUCUUCCGCAAUGGGCGAAAGCUUGACGGAGCAACGCCGCGUGAGUGAUGAAGGUCUUCGGAUCGUAAAACUCUGUUAUGAGGGAAGAACAAAUGUGUAAGUAACUAUGCACGUCUUGACGGUACCUAAUCAGAAAGCCACGGCUAACUACGUG